rnacentral:rRNA from 1 species
GACGAACGCUGGCGGCGUGCUUAACACAUGCAAGUCGAACGGAAAGGCCCUGCUUUUGUGGGGUGCUCGAGUGGCGAACGGGUGAGUAACACGUGAGUAACCUGCCCUUGACUUUGGGAUAACUUCAGGAAACUGGGGCUAAUACCGGAUAGGAGCUCCUGCUGCAUGGUGGGGGUUGGAAAGUUUCGGCGGUGGGGGCUGGACUCGCGGGUUAUCAGCUUGUUGGUGGGGUAGUGGCUUACCAAGGCUUUGACGGGUAGCCGGCCUGAGAGGGUGACCGGCCACCUUGGGACUGCGAUACGGCCCAGACUCCUACGGGAGGCAGCAGUGGGGAAUAUUGCACAAUGGGCGGAAGCCUGAUGCAGCAACGCCGCGUGCGGGAUGACGGCCUUCGGGUUGUAAACCGAUUUCGCCUGUGACGAAGCGUGAGUGACGGUAAUGGGUAAAGAAGCACCGGCUAACUACGUG